UACGAGAGGCCCAAACGUUAUUCGGAAUUACUGGGCUUAAAGAGUUCGUAGGCGGCGCAGAAAGUAGGGUGUGAAAGCCCUCGGCUCAACCGAGGAAUUGCGCUCUAAACUACUGUGCUUGAGGAAGCUAGAGGUGAGCGGAACUGAUGGUGUAGCGGUGAAAUGCGUAGAGAUCAGGAGGAACACCGGUGGCGAAGGCGGCGCCCUGGCCGAACAUUGACGCUGAGACGCGAAAGUGCGGGGAGCGAACGGG
rnacentral:rRNA from 1 species